rnacentral:rRNA from 1 species
GCGUAUAGAAUCUACCUUGUAGUAAGGGAUAGCCCAGAGAAAUUUGGAUUAAUACCUUAUAGUAUCUUAAGUGAGCAUUCACUAUGGAUUAAAGAUUUAUCGCUACAAGAUGACUAUGCGUUCUAUUAGCUAGUUGGUAUGGUAACGGCAUACCUAGGCUACGAUAGAUAGGGGUCCUGAGAGGGAGAUCCCCCACACUGGUACUGAGACACGGACCAGACUCCUACGGGAGGCAGCAGUGAGGAAUAUUGGACAAUGGAGGCAACUCUGAUCCAGCCAUGCCGCGUGUAGGAAGACUGC